CCGUGGGACGCGGAGGACAUUACAGAGCUGCAAAACUCCCUAAACCAUCGUGAACGCUACCUAAACCGUUGCUUCGGCGGGCGGCGCCCUCGCGCGCCCCCCCUGGGGCCCGCACCGCGGGCGCCCGCCGGAGGUACACCAAACUCUUGAUAUGUUAUGGCCACUCUGAGUCUCCUGUACUGAAUAAGUCAAAACUUUCAACAACGGAUCUCUUGGUUCUGGCAUCGAUGAAGAACGCAGCGAAAUGCGAUAAGUAAUGUGAAUUGCAGAAUUCAGUGAAUCAUCGAAUCUUUGAACGCACAUUGCGCCCGCCAGCAUCCUGGCGGGCAUGCCUGUUCGAGCGUCAUUUCAACCCAUCAAGCCCACGGCUUGUGUUGGGGACCUGCGGCUGCCCGCAGGCCCUGAAAACCAGUGGCGGGCUCGCUAGUCACACCGGGCGUAGUAGCAUACGACCUCGCUCAGGGCGUGCUGCGGGUUCCAGCCGUAAAACGACCUUCACAACCCAAGGUUGACCUCGGAUCAGGUAGGAGGACCCGCUGAACUUAAGCAUAUCAAUAAGCGGAGGAA
rnacentral:rRNA from 1 species